UUCUCGGUUUUCCCUACGCGGGGGCCGUCGACGUGUGGUCUCUUGGUUGUAUUAUCGCCGAGUUGUUUCUAGGCUCUCCACUUUUCUACAGCACCUGUGAAUACGACAUGGCAAGAAAGCACCCGCCACUCCUAAAAACCUUUCUCAAUCCUAAGUGGGCCGACAUAAGGUCACUUCAAUCUCAAACAUUUUUUCCUCCCCACAGUUGAGGAAGGUCGAGCAUAUCCUGGGUCACUUUCCACAAAGACUACUGAACAUUGGAGUCAACACGACGUAUUUUUACAAGAGGGAGCGGAGAUUUCAGUCAUUUCAGUGGAGACUGAAGACGACCAAAGAAUAUGGCUACGUGGCUUGCACCAACAAUUUCCUCAACUCUCUGGAUGACCUUUGUAAGGUCAGACAAGUGGUCCACCUGUCAAAUGAGGACACCACAGCAGAAAUCCAAGACCAAGAGAUCUUUGUGGAUUUGCUGAAGCAGCUGCUCAGACCCGACGCCGGCCAGCGACCGACCCCCAAUCGGAUUCUCCAGCACGCCUUCGUCACUAUGGAUGACCUUGCGCU